CCGCACUAGUCGGGGAGACAGCGGUGCCCUGUACCCGCAAUCCGCUACAGCGGGGAUGAAUCCCGGCCCCCGGACGUGAGGAUGUACUGUCCGCCCUGGAAAAGCAGUGAUGAUAGACCGGUCCCGCGCAACGGGGCUUCCGUGAACCGUGUCAGGCGGGGAACCGAGCAGCACUAAGCGGAUGGCCCCGUGUGCCGCGGGGAACUGUUCUUGAGCCGGCUGUCCAGGUAACGGGUAUGUCCUGCGCUUCAAAGGCCGGUGUGCGG
rnacentral:SRP_RNA from 1 species